GCCGGGGUGGCUCAGUGGUUGAGCGUUGACCUAUGAACCGGGAGGUCAAGGUUUGAUUCCUUGUCAGGGCA
rfam:Myotis lucifugus cont2.64046, whole genome shotgun sequence.